rfam:Schistosoma mansoni strain Puerto Rico chromosome 6, complete genome
AUUCAGCUGACAGGUUUGACAUAAAACGAAACUUAAGUCCUGAAU